UACAGAGGGUGCAAGCGUUGUUCGGAAUUAUUGGGCGUAAAGGGAGCGUAGGCGGACUGUUAAGUUAGAGGUGAAAGCCCAGGGCUCAACCUUGGAAUUGCCUUUGAUACUGGCAGUCUUGAGUACGGAAGAGGUAUGUGGAACUCCGAGUGUAGAGGUGAAAUUCGUAGAUAUUCGGAAGAACACCAGUGGCGAAGGCGACAUACUGGUCCGUUACUGACGCUGAGGCUCGAAAGCGUGGGGAGCAAACAGG
rnacentral:rRNA from 1 species